rnacentral:rRNA from 1 species
UACCAGACUCCUACGGGAGGCAGCAGUGGGGGAUAUUGGACAAUGGGGGAAACCCUGAUCCAGCGACGCCGCGUGAGUGAAGAAGUAUUUCGGUAUGUAAAGCUCUGUCAGCAGGGAAGAAAGAAAUGACGGUACCUGACCAAGAAGCCCCGGCUAACUACGUGCCAGCAGCCGCGGUAAUACGUAGGGGGCAAGCGUUAUCCGGAAUUACUGGGUGUAAAGGGAGCGUAGACGGUGAUGCAAGUCUGGAGUGAAAGGCGGGGGCUCAACCCCCGGACUGCUCUGGAAACUGUACGGCUGGAGUGCAGGAGAGGUAAGUGGAAUUCCUAGUGUAGCGGUGAAAUGCGUAGAUAUUAGGAGGAACACCAGUGGCGAAGGCGGCUUACUGGACCGAAACUGACGUUGAGGCUCGAAAGCGUGGGGAGCAAACAGGAUUAGAUACCCGUGUAGA